UUUGGCUGUUUUUUUCUCUUUGAGAAAGGUUUUUGACCACCUGGUGAGGGGAAAGGAGGCAGCCAGACGCCUACUAUCCCUUCGACAGGGCUCCCACAGCGUGGCAGAGUUGGCUGUGGAGUUCCGGACUUUGGCGGGGGUGAGUGGCUGGAAUGACGAAUCAUUACAGGGGGUGUUUACUAAUGCAUUGUCGGAGACCUUUGAUGAACCUACCUCUCUAGAUCAGCUUAUUUCCACAGCCUUAAGACAGGUCAACCGGAUCGGGGAGCGCCGGCGGGAGAGGGCCGCCAGAUUUCCACCUGUCCACCCACCUCCAGCCCCUCCCGCGGCCAGCGAACAUCCCUGAGUUACCACGAGGAAUCCCGAACCUGAGCCCAUGGAGGUAGGCCGUCGUGUUUGUUGGAUGAGGAAUGUGCACGCCGGUUGAACACUCGCUCCUGCCUCUACUGUGGUAUGUCUGGUCAUUUCAUUUCCUCCUGUCCCAGUUGCCCGGCUCACUAGUCGUGAGAGAAGCAUUAGUGAGCCGAGCUGCCUGUUCUCCCUCCCGGUUGCAGCUCAAUGCCUCCCUCCAGUGGCAAUCCCAAGUAUUACCAUUGUUUGCUCUUAUUGAUUCUCGCGCUGACGAGAGCUUCCUGGAUAGAAGGGUAGCUCGUCAGAUGCACAUACACACUGUCCCCCUCUGCCACCCCCUUGAGGCUAAGGCUCUAAAUGGCUUACCCCUGGCUCAGGUUACUCAUCAGACUGUUCCCAUUCAGCUCAUGGUAUCUGGUAAUCAUCAGGAGAGAAUUAAAUUGCAUAUUAUCGACUGCCCAUAGACUCCUCUGGUUCUUGGCUCCCCCUGGCUACAUUUGCACAACCCCCACAUAGAUUGGUCUAUUGGGAAGGUCAUAUCUUGGAGCACCACCUGCCACUCUAACUGUUUGUUUUCUGCUCAGACCCCUGCUGGUUCCAGACCCAAACUCCAGCCUGAGGCCCCAGAUCUCUCUGAGGUACCUGAGAUCUAUCAUGAUUUGGCACCGGUCUUCUGCAAACAUCAGGCCUCCUCCCUUCCCCCACACCGACCAUAUGACUGCUCCAUUGAUCUCCAGCCGGGAGUGCCUCUCCCCAAAGGCUGCCUCUACAACCUCUCCGGCCCGGAGCAUCAGGCCAUGGAGAAUUACAUCCGGGACUCUCUGCCUGCAGGCUCACGUGCGGCGCUGCUUCAGUGUGUGGAGGAGGACUAGGGCAGCCCUGAUUCACGCAUCCAGCACCAUGCAGAGGCAGGCCAACUGUCAUCGCCGCCCGGCCCCCACCUACACUCCGGGGCAACAGGUUCAAAAUCCUAUUCAGCGGUGAGCGGGCAACGAAACUGCGCCCAGCAGCCUCCAAGUGAACAUGACAUGAUCAGUCACCUGGGGUGACAAGAGACAAACUGGCAAGAAUUGGCUACACGGCACAUGGCUGCUUGAAAUGCGCCCGAUCUAGCCUCCAUCUCCUGUUGAAGCACCUUCACAUCUUUCUCUCUGUCCUGGAUUCUCUGCUGGAUGUUUUGUCGACUCACCUCGAGCUGUCUCUGCCUCUCAGUCCUUUCUGCUGCAGCUGAGACUAUGUCGUGGCCUUUAUGUUCAUCCACAGAGCAGAGAUAACAGAUACUCAGCUGAUCAGUACGGCAGAACAUCUUCAUCACCUCAUAGCAGAUGUUCUUCUGGAGCUUCUUGGUCCAGCUGAACUCCUUUCUGCGCCAUUUCACCUCUCAGUAGCAACGACUGUCUGAGUUUCACUUUCUUGUAAGUUAAUCUACUUUGAGCUCUGGUCCAAACAGCAUGUGUUUCUGCAGUGAAUAGGGUCUGUCAGCUCCUGCACGUCACCACAUGUUGGUUACACCAUCUUCAAACUGUAUGAUCGGAAGGGGAGGGAACAAGGAAAUAUAAGUUAUGGACAGAGAGGACCUUGCUGUGUUUUGAGAGGAAGAGGGAGGGGUUAUCAAUUUCUGAGUCAUUCCAGGAAGAGGAGCGGAUUGAGAGAGAUACUAUGUAUUUAACACUUGUUUACACUUGUUUUAAUUUCUCAUUGAAAAACACUGGUCACUUCAGCUUUUAAGAGGUAAAAUCUUCUUAGAACAAAAACAUAACAUGAAAGAAAAUGAA